UACAGAGGGGCCGAGCGUUAGGCGGAAUCACUGGGCUUAAAGCGUGUGUAGGCGGAUCGUUAAGUAAGUUGUGAAAUCCCAUGGCUCAACCAUGGAACUGCUUGGUAUACUGGCGGUCUUGAGCCAGCUAGGGGCUACCGGAACAAAUGGUGGAGCGGUGAAAUGCGUAGAUAUCAUUUGGAACGCCAAUGGUGAAAACAGGUAGCUGGGGCUGUGCUGACGCUGAGACACGAAAGCAUGGGGAGCAAACAGG
rnacentral:rRNA from 1 species